GAUGAACGCUGGCGGCGUGCCUAAUACAUGCAAGUCGAGCGAACAGACGAGGAGCUUGCUCCUCUGACGUUAGCGGCGGACGGGUGAGUAACACGUGGAUAACCUACCUAUAAGACUGGGAUAACUUCGGGAAACCGGAGCUAAUACCGGAUAAUAUAUUGAACCGCAUGGUUCAAUAGUGAAAGACGGUUUUGCUGUCACUUAUAGAUGGAUCCGCGCCGCAUUAGCUAGUUGGUAAGGUAACGGCUUACCAAGGCAACGAUGCGUAGCCGACCUGAGAGGGUGAUCGGCCACACUGGAACUGAGACACGGUCCAGACUCCUACGGGAGGCAGCAGUAGGGAAUCUUCCGCACUGGGCGCAAGCCUGACGGAGCACCGCCGCGUGAGUGAUGAAGGUCUUCGGAUCGUAAAACUCUGUUAUUAGGGAAGAACAAAUGUGUAAGUAACUAUGCACGUCUUGACGGUACCUAAUCAGAAAGCCACGGCUAACUACGUG
rnacentral:rRNA from 1 species